rnacentral:rRNA from 1 species
AUCUGAUCUGUUGGGGAAGCCUUGAGGAGGGAAAGGAACGGUAGAUGUUGGACGAGGGUUGUCGCUGGCCUUCGGGCAUGUGCACGCCCGAGUCUUAGUCUCUGAUCUGACCUCUCUUUGACGUGGACCCGACUUUUCAUACACACCUGUGCACCUCUUGUAGGUCUUCCCUCGAAAGGGGGUCAGACCUAUGUCUAUCAUAAACGCGUAUGUCUACAGAAGGUCUACGUUCAGCGUCGUUAGCAGCGACGAUGAGCGUCAUGAUGAAACAACUUUCAGCAAUGGAUCUCUUGGCUCUCGCAUCGAUGAAGAACGCAGCGAAUUGCGAUAAGUAAUGUGAAUUGCAGAUCUUCAGUGAAUCAUCGAAUCUUUGAACGCACCUUGCGCUCCUUGGUAUUCCUUGGAGCAUGCCUGUUUGAGUGUCAUCGAAGUCUCAACCAUGCCUUGAUUGACGUCGAGCGCAUGGCUUGGAUCUGGGGGUUGCUGGCUUGCACGAGCGAGUCGGCUCUCCUGAAAUGGAUUAGCAGAGGCGUCGUCCUUCGUGCACGGCUUUCGACGUGAUAACGAUCGUCGUGGCUGGAGCGAUGGGACGGUCUCGGUCGCUGCUUCUAACUCGGAUGAGAUUCCUAGUGGAUCUCGUCUCUGAAACUUGACCUCAAAUCAGGUAGGACUACCCGCUGAACUUAAGCAUAUCAAUAAGGCGGAGGA